CAACACUCUAGCUCCUUCCAACACUUCUCCUAGAGCUGCUUGCUCAACAGGCACUGGUUCCCGUGGUGGCUUCCAUUUCCCAGUCUCUACUCAGGAGAUUGGUUCCACGAUGCCUGCUGAUACCGAAAUCCUUGGAUUCUCAAGUCCCGAAUAUAAAACCGCAUAGAUC